UCCUCUUCCUCCUCUAUGAGAUAUUCAGGGCACUUGUCCUCCUCCCCCUCUACCAGACAUUGCUGGCCCUCUUCCUCCUCCGUCUACUCCUCUACCAGACAUUGCUGACCCUCCUCCUACUCCUCUACCGGACAUCGCUGGCCCUCUUCCUCCUCUUGUACUGGACAUCUCUGGCUCUCCUCCUCCUCCUCUUCCUCCUCCUCCUCUACCAGGCGGCACUUGUCCUCCUCCCCCUCUACCAGACAUUGCUGGCCCUCUUCCUCCUCCGUCUACUCCUCUACCAGACAUUGCUGACCCUCCUCCUACUCCUCUACCGGACAUCGCUGGCCCUCCUCCUCCUCUUGUACCGGACAUCUCUGGCUCUCCUCCUCCUCCUCUUCCUCCUCCUCCUCUACCAGGCGUCACUGUCCCUCCUCCUCCUCUUCUACUAGACAUCAUUGACCCUCCUCCUCCUCCUCCUGUACUAGACAUUCCUGGCCCUCUUCUUCCUCCUCCUCCUAUUUCUCAACCAGAUAGCACUGAUCCUCCUCCUCCUCCACUACCAGACAUUGGUGGUCCUUCUCCUCCUCCUCUAUCAGAC
rnacentral:lncRNA from 1 species